AAGACGACCCAAAGUAAUUUGGCUCUGGAUUUGAAACAUUCCAACCUCUCCAGGUCACUGAAUGGUUAGUAUGGGGUGUGGUCCUUUGCAAGAACUUUCAUUCAGGAGGGUGAGAACUGACUAACAGGAUGUGGCUAGCUUUUAAGCAAACUGCAACAAAAGAAAGGGGCUAAUGCAGGAAGUCUGACUAGCCUGGCGCCCUUUCCAUGGUCUGCGGUGAUUCCGGAUGCUUAAACAGCAUCAAGGCAGGGUCUGAUGUGUGACUGCAGAUGGUGAGGCGAUGGAGCGAUAGCACCUGAUAAGAUGGUGUAAACCAUCUACACCCUACAUUCAUCUGAAGGUACUACCAGCAACAGGGACGGAAGCACAGCCCCACACUGUCCCUCAGCACAGCUCCCCUCAAGUCACUGUGUAAGACAUACAGAAUUUUGUAUUCAGGACCAGGCUUUCUUCGGCUUCACUGGCUGAGUGUCUAUGGUAUCCGUGUGGCACCAAGACCUGAUAUAACAAUGCUUCCAACAAGCAAUGUAAUGAUCACUGAUUCUUCCCAACCCAAGCUGUGUCAAGUUGACACAAAACCAGCCAGUACAGCCUUUGUCACCUGUGAGCCACCAUGUUACAGCUACCAGGAGACAGGGUACCAGUGAUCGGGAGCCUAUGACAAGUAAGUCCAUGGUAUCUGUACCUGACAAUGUCUCAAAGAACAAACCUGCCGCAUGAUGGAUCUCACGGCUGAAGGACACCCCACCCACCCCCAACAACCCCAGAUGACUGGACUUGCAUGCUUCUGUGAUUUCAAUGUGU